rnacentral:lncRNA from 1 species
UGAAACAGUCUGUUUAGUAGGGGAUGAAUCUUGACAGGCUGUUAAUUUUAUAGAAGCUAAUGUUGACCUUAUUUUAAAUAUAAUAGAGUGUUAUUGUCUGGAGGUGUUUGAUAUUCAGUCAGUAGAACAUGCAAAAUAUUGAAAUGAUUUGCUGCUGUGACUGUGUUUAUGAUUAUCCACGGCAAGAUGGUAUUUUAUUGUCAGUUAAGAUUUUGUGAAUACUUUAAACUGC